AAUAUUGGACAAUGGGGGGAACCCUGAUCCAGCCAUGCCGCGUGUGUGAAGAAGGUCUUCGGAUUGUAAAGCACUUUAAGUUGGGAGGAAGAGUUGUAGGCUAAUACCUUGCAAUUUUGACGUUACCAACAGAAUAAGCACCGGCUAACUUCGUGCCAGCAGCCGCGGUAAUACGUAGGUGGCGAGCGUUGUCCGGAAUUACUGGGCGUAAAGCGCGCGUAGGUGGUUUGUUAAGUUGGAAGUGAAAGCCCCGGGCUCAACCUGGGAAUUGCUUUCAAAACUGACGAGCUAGAGUACGGUAGAGGGUAGUGGAAUUUCCUGUGUAGCGGUGAAAUGCGUAGAUAUAGGAAGGAACAUCAGUGGCGAAGGCGACUACCUGGACUGAUACUGACACUGAGGUGCGAAAGCGUGGGGAGCAAACAGG
rnacentral:rRNA from 1 species